GUCGGAAGGAUGACGGGCCUUAGGAUGAAGAAGAGCCCCUGUCUCCAAGGGCCAUCGCCUCCGUUCUGGGCACCUGGCUGGACCAGACUCGGAGGACUUCUCUCAGCCCGGACGUUCCCUGCCUCAAGCAGCUGGUGGCCUAUGUGCAGCUCAACAUGCCCGGUUCUGACCUGGAGCGCCGUGCCCACCUUCUGCUGACCCGGCUGGAGCACGCCGAGCCCACAGAGGCCGAGCGCGAGGAGCCCCAUGGAAGCUGGCCUGGCUUCUGCCCCUGCGCCUGGCACCUCACCCGAGCUAGAGACACAGGUGGAGCCCGGCUCUAGCUCCUGAGAUGGUGGAGCAGCUGAGAGAGGAGAAGAAAAGCUCA